rnacentral:lncRNA from 1 species
GUUGUCAUUUGUCACGUCAAGUUCCUCUGAUGACGAAAAAAAAUAAAGAACGGAUUUAUCCUUUUAUGAAACUGACUUGAUUAGACACUCUAGUUGGAGAUGCUCUUAACUUAUGUUUGGUAUCACGGUAGGUAUUUCAGAAUCACAGUGAUCCACCGUGAUUUUGAGAAGCUACUACAAAAACACGGUGAGCCACCGCGAUUCUGACAUCCUCACCAUGAUACCAAACAUACACUAGUCUUACAAAAAUCACCAAGACUAAUGACUUUAUUGAAUAUUAUAAAUUUGAAAUCUUAUCCCAAAUAUAUCCUCAUCAUUAAAUGUUUUUAUAAACAAUUAGUUCUAUAUCUCAAAGUCUUGGCUGAUUAUUGUAUAAAGAGAUAUAGAAG